rnacentral:rRNA from 1 species
AGAGUUUGAUCAUGGCUCAGCCUGAACGCUGGCGGCGUGGCUAAGACAUGCAAGUCGAACGGGUAGCAAUACCAGUGGCGGACGGGUGAGUAAUGAAUCGCUAACGUACCCUUAGGUCAGGGAUAGCCAGCCGAAAGGCUGGGUAAUACCUGAUGUUUUAACCCUUGGGCAUCCUCGGGUUCACAAAGCCGCAAGGCGCCUUUGGAGCGGGCGAUUUCGUAUCAGGUAGUUGGUGAGGUAACGGCUCACCAAGCCGACGACGCGUAGCCGGGCUGAGAGGUUGGCCGGCCACAUUGGGACUGAGACACUGCCCAGACUCCUACGGGGGGCUGCAGUAACGAAUCUUCCGCAAUGCACGAAAGUGUGACGGAGCGACGCCGCGUGUAGGACGAAGCCCUUCGGGGUGUAAACUACUGUCAGGGGAAAGAAAGUUCUGAUCUACCCCAGAGGAAGAGACGGCUAACUCUGUGCCAGCAGCCGCGGUAAUUC